CUUGCGUUCUCUGAUGUGUAGCGAGCGGACGGGUGAGUAACACGUGGGUAACCUACCUAUAAGACUGGGAUAACUCCGGGAAACCGGGGCUAAUACCGGAUAAUAUUUUGAACCGCAUGGUUCAAUACUGAAAGACGGUUUCGGCUGUCACUUAUAGAUGGACCCGCGCCGUAUUAGCUAGUUGGUAAGGUAACGGCUUACCAAGGCGACGAUACGUAGCCAACCUGAGAGGGUGAUCGGCCACACUGGAACUGAGACACGGUCCAGACUCCUACGGGAGGCAGCAGUAGGGAAUCUUCCGCAAUGGGCGAAAGCCUGACGGAGCAACGCCGCGUGAGUGAUGAAGGUCUUCGGAUCGUAAAACUCUGUUGUUAGGGAAGAACAAAUUUGUUAGUAACUGAACAAGUCUUGACGGUACCUAACCAGAAAGCCACGGCUAACUACGUGCCAGCAGCCGCGGUAAUACGUAGGUGGCAAGCGUUAUCCGGAAUUAUUGGGCGUAAAGCGCGCGUAGGCGGUUU
rnacentral:rRNA from 2 species